GGGGAAUAUUGGACAAUGGGCGCAAGCCUGAUCCAGCAAUGCCGCGUGAGUGAGGAAGGCCUUAGGGUUGUAAAGCUCUUUCGGCGGGGACGAUGAUGACGGUACCCGCAGAAGAAGCCCCGGCUAACUUCGUGCCAGCAGCCGCGGUAAUACGAAGGGGGCGAGCGUUGUUCGGAUUUACUGGGCGUAAAGGGCGCGCAGGCGGCUCUUCAAGUCAGGCGUGAAAGCCCCGGGCUCAACCUGGGAACUGCGUCUGGGACUGGAAGGCUAGAGAUCGGGAGAGGAGAGUGGAAUUCCCAGUGUAGAGGUGAAAUUCGUAGAUAUUGGGAAGAACACCGGUGGCGAAGGCGGCUCUCUGGACCGACACUGACGCUGAGGCGCGAAAGCGUGGGGAGCAAA
rnacentral:rRNA from 1 species